AUACGGAGGGUGCGAGCGUUAAUCGGAAUUACUGGGCGUAAAGCGUACGUAGGCGGUUGGUUAAGUUAGAUGUGAAAGCCCCGGGCUUAACCUGGGAACUGCAUUUAAAACUGGCGAACUAGAGUUGAGUAGAGGGGAGUGGAAUUUCAGGUGUAGCGGUGAAAUGCGUAGGGAUCUGAAGGAACACCAGUGGCGAAGGCGACUCCCUGGACUCGAACUGACGCUGAGGUACGAAAGCGUGGGUAGCAAACAGGAUUAGAUACCCCGGUAGUCC
rnacentral:rRNA from 1 species